AACCUGAAAAUAGAAGUUGUAAGUCAGGGAUGGUGGUAUGUGCCUCUAGUCUCAGCUAGUUGGGAGGCUGAGGCUUGAGCCCAGGCCUUCAAGGCUGUAGUGCACAAUGACUGUACUUGUGAAUAGCCACUGCACUCCAGCCUGGGCAACAUAGCAAGACUCCCACCCUUUAAGAAAAAAGAGAAGAGAGGAAAAAAUAGAAGUUGUGGAGAGGGAGGAGGAUGCUUGAAUACUUUGACCGUACUUGGCAUAAUAGACAUUUUGAGGGUUUUUUUUUUUUCUUAAAAUUCCUCUGGAUCAGUUUUCAUUGUUUCUAGUAAUUAUAUUUAUCAUUAAUGAAUUCAUAUUCUGCUCUAGUCCCUAAAGAUAGUUUGAUAUGCUAACUUUUGUUUUGCCUUUCUAGCUGCUAAGAUAGAUAAUGGUUAUUGCAAAAUGCACGUUUUUAAAUGGUCUCCAGUGUGGAUUGCUUCUGAGCUGCUGAUGGAUUGAAUACAUUGAGAAGGAAUGUGUCAUUUGGAAUCCAGGACCAGUCAGCAAGGAUAACUGCCUGAUUUUAUGAUUUCGUGACUGAUGCUGAAAUGGAAGCCAACCACUGCAGAAAUUUGGGGGAAAAUGAGAUCUGAAGAAUACAAGGGGAAGUAGGAAUUCAUUUCUAGCAUUUCCAAACCUGCUUAAUCGUGUCUGCUCCACCACAGUCAGAGGAAAAGACUGAGUUCAUGGAAAUUACCAGCUAAGCCUUACAUCUGUCUUUAAUGUUUUUAGGAAGUAUACUGAAAAGGUAAGUGAGAUGUCUGUUUUGAAGAGAGACUCUUACUGGGUACCUUAAAACCCGUUGUUUCCUAUUAGUAAAGAUGGGCAGCUUCUUUAUUCCUAGCUUCAAAAAGCCUUGCCCCUGUUCGGUGUGUUUCUCAGUAUUGUGGAGAAGGUAGUUUCUGAGCAAGGUGGUGCUUUUCCUCUGCUUCUCAGCAGCUAAGACAGAAAUUGCACCGAAGUGUACAAAGGGCCAAUUUUUGUUGUCCUGUUGUGCUCAAAUCCUUUUUUUAAAAAAGUUAUUUCAAUCAAGUCUUAGUUUUAUUCCUCACUAUAUAGGAAAAAAAUCUUUAAUGCCUCAAAAGUUCCAGUCAGCAUUACAUUUGCAUUACUCUUAUUUGCAGCAAAUAUGAGUAAAAUUGUAGGUUUUUAAAGGUCUCUAAUAACAUCCACUUAUAUUGGUUUUGUAGAUAAUCCAUAAAUUACCAGAAAUAAAUUAUUCCACAUUUAUUACACACCCAUGUAAUAGAUGUCGUGCCAGGCCCUGGAAUAUACUAAUGGCAUCACCUCAUGUGGUAAAAAGACACAUUCCGCCAUCCUGGAGUAUACAAAGGUAGACUAGCAUAUAGUUCAUGUGCUCAAGGAGUUCAUUUUUAUUGACAUGAUACAGAUAGAAUUGUAGUUUAGGGAAUCAAAAUAUAAUAAAAUGAGGCUAAUUCCAUUUUCCCAUUAACACUAAUAACUAGUGUGUAAAUCUGAAUAUGACACAUUCUAUAUGAAAGAAGCUCUGUGUGCAUCUACACUAAAUACUCGUGUGUGCCAGGUACUAUUUUAAACUACGUAUAUUUUUUUAAUUCUCAUAACUGUUCUCUGAGGUAAGUACUAAUACUAAAGCUAUUGUCAAAGGAAGGCAGAAAAAUUAAGUAACUUGGCCUAAGUUUGCAUAACUGUGAUCUGGGAUCAAUAUUUGAACCCAUACAGGCUGAUUGCAGAGCCUGCACUCUUAAUUUGAGUGUGAUAUUUAUGUGCAGUACCUGGCUAUAAGUACCCACAAAACGUUUCAAAUUCUUUAUAAAAUUUGCUUAGUUAAAAAAGUACCAAUUGCAUAAUAUGGUUAUAAGUCUGGUAGAAGUUAGGCUUUUUACAAGACAUGCUGCUUACUGCACCAAGGAGGCAAGAAGUCUUUUUAGAGAGCCCAAAAUUUCCUUUCCUCAACUCCUGCUUCCAAGACAGUCAUUUUGCAUGAUAACCGUUUCCCCAAAAAACACAGACACAAAAUUUAAAGAACUGGAACAGAGGAAGCAGAGCUUAUCAUAGUAUAUAUAUUUAGUACCCUGUCACUUAGGUCCACCCCUCUUUCUUUGUGGAUUGUGGACAUUUUGUUUAACUGCUAAAUCAUGAGAAUAUAUGACUGCUGAGACUUUUCCAAGGAUUUUUUAAAAAACACAUUAGGCUUCGUGCAGAAGUAAAGAAAAAGUGCUGUGAGAACCCCAGGUAGGUAAUUUACUUCCUAUUGUACUCAUAGUUUGUUUGAAACCUCUUCACCUCUAUCCCUUAUUGUUUUAUACUCUGUAAAUCUGAUUUUACCUUUAAUAAACUUUUCUGAAGUGAGUGA